rnacentral:rRNA from 1 species
GACGAACGCUGGCGGCGUGCUUAACACAUGCAAGUCGAACGGAAAGGCCCUGCUUUUGUGGGGUGCUCGAAUGGCGAACGGGUGAGUAACACGUGAGUAACCUGCCCUUGACUUUGGGAUAACUUCAGGAAACUGGGGCUAAUACCGGAUAGGAGCUCCUGCUGCAUGGUGGGGGUUGGAAAGUUUCGGCGGUUGGGGAUGGACUCGCGGCUUAUCAGCUUGUUGGUGGGGUAGUGGCUUACCAAGGCUUUGACGGGUAGCCGGCCUGAGAGGGUGACCGGCCACAUUGGGACUGAGAUACGGCCCAGACUCCUACGGGAGGCAGCAGUGGGGAAUAUUGCACAAUGGGCGGAAGCCUGAUGCAGCAACGCCGCGUGCGGGAUGACGGCCUUCGGGUUGUAAACCGCUUUCGCCUGUGACGAAGCGUGAGUGACGGUAAUGGGUAAAGAAGCACCGGCUAACUACGUGCCAGCAGCCGCGGUGAUACGUAGGGUGCGAGCGUUGUCCGGAUUUAUUGGGCGUAAAGGGCUCGUAGGUGGUUGAUCGCGUCGGAAGUGUAAUCUUGGGGCUUAACCCUGAGCGUGCUUUCGAUACGGGUUGACUUGAGGAAGGUAGGGGAGAAUGGAAUUCCUGGUGGAGCGGUGGAAUGCGCAGAUAUCAGGAGGAACACCAGUGGCGAAGGCGGUUCUCUGGGCCUUUCCUGACGCUGAGGAGCGAAAGCGUGGGGAGCGAACAGGCUUAGAUACCCUGGUAGUCCACGCUGUAAACGGUGGGUACUAGGUGUGGGGUCCAUUCCACGGGUUCCGUGCCGUAGCUAACGCUUUAAGUACCCCGCCUGGGGAGUACGGCCGCAAGGCUAAAACUCAAAGGAAUUGACGGGGCCCCGCACAAGCGGCGGAGCAUGCGGAUUAAUUCGAUGCAACGCGUAGAACCUUACCUGGGUUUGACAUGGAUCGGGAGUGCUCAGAGAUGGGUGUGCCUCUUUUGGGGUCGGUUCACAGGUGGUGCAUGGCUGUCGUCAGCUCGUGUCGUGAGAUGUUGGGUUAAGUCCCGCAACGAGCGCAACCCUUGUUCACUGUUGCCAGCACGUUAUGGUGGGGACUCAGUGGAGACCGCCGGGGUCAACUCGGAGGAAGGUGGGGAUGACGUCAAGUCAUCAUGCCCCUUAUGUCCAGGGCUUCACGCAUGCUACAAUGGCUGGUACAGAGAGUGGCGAGCCUGUGAGGGUGAGCGAAUCUCGGAAAGCCGGUCUCAGUUCGGAUUGGGGUCUGCAACUCGACCUCAUGAAGUCGGAGUCGCUAGUAAUCGCAGAUCAGCAACGCUGCGGUGAAUACGUUCCCGGG